AACUUUUAGCAAUGGGUCACGUGGCUCUCGCGUCGAUGAAGAACGCAGCGAAAUGCGAUACGUAAUGUGAAUUGCAGAAUUCAGUGAAUCAUCGAAUCUUUGAACGCACCUUGCGCCCCUUGGUAUUCCGAGGGGCACACCCGUUUGAGUGUCGUGAAAUUCUCAAACCUUCUUGGUUUCUUGAUCAAGAUGGCUUUGGACUUUGGAGGCAUUUGCUGGCUUUGCGAAAAGCCAGCUCCUCUUGAAUGCAUUAGUGGGGUCCCCUUUGCCGAUCCCCAGGCGUGAUAAGAUGUUUCUACGUCUUGGGAUUUGCUCUGUUCCUUGGGAACCCGCUUCUAACCGUCUCAUGGAAGACAUUGUUCGAGCUUGCUCGACCCACGAACCUUGACCUCAAAUCGGGUGAGACUACCCGCUGAACUUAAGCAUAUCAAUAAGCGGAGGCU
rnacentral:misc_RNA from 1 species